UAGAAAUGUUUUAAGAUGAAAUGUAUUCCUAGCAUAGAGAGAGGAACACUGGAGGUGUCCAAUGCCCUGGUCUGCUGAGCCUUUUCUAAAGACAUAGAAACAAGUAAGAACCAUUCUGCACAGCAUCAGGCCGAGGUGGACGUUCCGAUCAGACUGGAAGGACAGGACAGAGGGACAUGACGAUGAGGCCAUGUUGAUGAGUGUCCCUUAUACUCUGGGUAUGGUGGAUUUCCAGAUGAAAUCUCAACAAGGAGCUCUUCUGACGUGAUCGUCGCAAACGUCGUCUUCCUGCAGAUGGUACACAGCUGGAGCCGGGUUGGAGGAUCUUUCCCCUACAUUCCAUUCCCUAGAGUAAGAGAUGGCCUGAGCGGCUGGUGGCCUGGCCUCUGUCAGGGGCCAAGACCCAGUGACUGAUGUCUGAACAAAGAAGGAGACUUCUCCGGCAACAGAAUCAGCCGAAAUAAACAUCGCCAGCACGGGUACCGUACACUGCGAGUUCAGUGGUGGCUAUAUAAUAAAUAUCUUCCCUCCAGUGCCCAAUACCACACGAUCGAAUAAAUAAGUGAAAAGUUACAAGCAA